GCUCAGAUUGAACGCUGGCGGCAGGCCUAACACAUGCAAGUCGAGCGGUAGCACAGAGAGCUUGCUCUCGGGUGACGAGCGGCGGACGGGUGAGUAAUGUCUGGGAAACUGCCUGAUGGAGGGGGAUAACUACUGGAAACGGUAGCUAAUACCGCAUAACGUCGCAAGACCAAAGUGGGGGACCUUCGGGCCUCAUGCCAUCAGAUGUGCCCAGAUGGGAUUAGCUAGUAGGUGGGGUAACGGCUCACCUAGGCGACGAUCCCUAGCUGGUCUGAGAGGAUGACCAGCCACACUGGAACUGAGACACGGUCCAGACUCCUACGGGAGGCAGCAGUGGGGAAUAUUGCACAAUGGGCGCAAGCCUGAUGCAGCCAUGCCGCGUGUGUGAAGAAGGCCUUCGGGUUGUAAAGCACUUUCAGCGGGGAGGAAGGCGGUGAGGUUAAUAACCUCAUCGAUUGACGUUACCCGCAGAAGAAGCACCGGCUAACUCCGUGCCAGCAGCCGCGGUAAUACGGAGGGUGCAAGCGUUAAUCGGAAUUACUGGGCGUAAAGCGCACGCAGGCGGUCUGUCAAGUCGGAUGUGAAAUCCCCGGGCUCAACCUGGGAACUGCAUUCGAAACUGGCAGGCUAGAGUCUUGUAGAGGGGGGUAGAAUUCCAGGUGUAGCGGUGAAAUGCGUAGAGAUCUGGAGGAAUACCGGUGGCGAAGGCGGCCCCCUGGACAAAGACUGACGCUCAGGUGCGAAAGCGUGGGGAGCAAACAGGAUUAGAUACCCUGGUAGUCCACGCCGUAAACGAUGUCGAUUUGGAGGUUGUGCCCUUGAGGCGUGGCUUCCGGAGCUAACGCGUUAAAUCGACCGCCUGGGGAGUACGGCCGCAAGGUUAAAACUCAAAUGAAUUGACGGGGGCCCGCACAAGCGGUGGAGCAUGUGGUUUAAUUCGAUGCAACGCGAAGAACCUUACCUGGUCUUGACAUCCACAGAACUUUCCAGAGAUGGAUUGGUGCCUUCGGGAACUGUGAGACAGGUGCUGCAUGGCUGUCGUCAGCUCGUGUUGUGAAAUGUUGGGUUAAGUCCCGCAACGAGCGCAACCCUUAUCCUUUGUUGCCAGCGGUUAGGCCGGGAACUCAAAGGAGACUGCCAGUGAUAAACUGGAGGAAGGUGGGGAUGACGUCAAGUCAUCAUGGCCCUUACGACCAGGGCUACACACGUGCUACAAUGGCAUAUACAAAGAGAAGCGACCUCGCGAGAGCAAGCGGACCUCAUAAAGUAUGUCGUAGUCCGGAUUGGAGUCUGCAACUCGACUCCAUGAAGUCGGAAUCGCUAGUAAUCGUAGAUCAGAAUGCUACGGUGAAUACGUUCCCGGGCCUUGUACACACCGCCCGUCACACCAUGGGAGUGGGUUGCAAAAGAAGUAGGUAGCUUAACCUUCGGGAGGGCGCUUACCACUUUGUGAUUCAU
rnacentral:rRNA from 1 species